GGAUGUGAGGGUGAUCUGACUGUGACAUCUGUCACCCCAUUGAUAGCCAGGGUUGAUUCAGCUGAUCUGGCUGGCUAGACGGGCAUUCCCUUCCUCCCUCACCACUCCACGUGUCUCUCCUGAAGCUGCAUGCUUGGUCAAAGAGGAUGACCUUCCCUUUAGUAGGGAAGAAUGGUAGAGGAGGACCAUUCUUCAGUCACGGGUAUAUGGUAGCUGUGCUCCCCUCCUGGAGCCUCCAAAUAAGAAAUGCCUUGAGAUGACUUCAUGUCCCCCUUCUUACUUUCUAGGAAUUGGAGGAGCAAUUAUGUCAUGUGUUUGACUAAUCGGGGAAUAAAAACCAGAGGCCAUUGAAUGACAGUCUUCCAAUUUAG
rnacentral:snRNA from 1 species